rnacentral:rRNA from 1 species
UACGAAGGGUGCAAGCGUUGCUCGGAAUUAUUGGGCGUAAAGGGUAGGUAGGUGGUCUCAUUUGUCAGGGGUGAAAGCCUUGGGCUUAACCCAAGAAGUGCCCCUGAAACGGUGAGACUGGAGUCUUGGAGAGGGUCGUGGAAUUCCCGGUGUAGCGGUGAAAUGCGUAGAGAUCGGGAGGAACACCAGAGGCGAAGGCGGCGACCUGGACAAGCACUGACACUCAACUACGAAAGCGUGGGUAGCAAACAGG